rnacentral:rRNA from 1 species
AGUGAACGCUGGCGGUAGGCCUAACACAUGCAAGUCGAACGGCAGCACAGUAAGAGCUUGCUCUUACGGGUGGCGAGUGGCGGACGGGUGAGGAAUACAUCGGAAUCUACCUUUUCGUGGGGGAUAACGUAGGGAAACUUACGCUAAUACCGCAUACGACCUACGGGUGAAAGCAGGGGAUCUUCGGACCUUGCGCGAUUGAAUGAGCCGAUGUCGGAUUAGCUAGUUGGCGGGGUAAAGGCCCACCAAGGCGACGAUCCGUAGCUGGUCUGAGAGGAUGAUCAGCCACACUGGAACUGGGACACGGUCCAGACUCCUACGGGAGGCAGCAGUGGGGAAUAUUGGGCAAUGGGCGCAAGCCUGAUCCAGCCAUACCGCGUGAGUGAAGAAGGCCUUCGGGUUGUAAAGCCCUUUUGUUGGGAAAGAAAAGCAGCAGGUUAAUACCCCGCUGUUCUGACGGUACCCAAAGAAUAAGCACCGGCUAACUUCGUG